AAUCAGAUUUUUUCCAAAUCUGAUUUGGAAAAAAUUUCUUUUGCCUGAUUUUAUUUUUUGUUACUUUUAGGAAUUAUUGCCAUUUUCGUCCUUAAGAUACCAAAAUUUCCACUUGACUUUACAAUCUGAUGAUGUAAUUUUUAAAUAUUAAUUGACUGAUAAUUAGAUCAGUUACUCAAUACUUUAGUAGACUUUUUACCAAAUACUUUUUUACUCUUACUUGGGUCAU